rnacentral:misc_RNA from 1 species
UUGUAGCCUAGAUUGAAAUGAAAAGCUUCACGCAGCUAAAAAGUAUUUUUUCUUGGUCUUGCAAAGCGACUAAAAGAAGCUCUUGUAAGAACAAUAGAAAAAAUCUUUUUUGCAAGAGAACUUGUAAUAGAAAGCUGGAAUUGCU